GGUUAAGUCCGCAACGAGCGCAACCCUUGCCCUUAGUUGCCAUCGGGUCACGCCGGGAACUCUAAGGGGACGCCCCGGACAACGGGGAGGAAGGUGGGGAUGACGUCAAGUCAGCAUGGCCUUUAUGUCCAGGGCUACACACGUGCUACAAUGGUUGGUACAAAGGGUUGCCAAGCCGUGAGGCGGAGCCAAUCUCAAAAAGCCAACCUCAGUUCGGAUUGCAGUCUGCAACUCGACUGCAUGAAGUUGGAAUCGCUAGUAAUCGCUGAUCAGCAGGCAGCGGUGAAUACGUUCCCGGGCCUU
rnacentral:rRNA from 1 species